rnacentral:rRNA from 1 species
UUGGAGGGCAAGUCUGGUGCCAGCAGCCGCGGUAAUUCCAGCUCCAAUAGCGUAUAUUAAAGUUGCUGCAGUUAAAAAGCUCGUAGUUGAAUUUCGGGACCAUCAUGUCGGUCGUGCCUCGGUACGUACUGGCAUUGUUGGUUUCUCCCUUCUGACGAACCAUGAUGUCAUUUAUUUGGUGUUGUGGGGAAUCAGGACUGUUACUUUGAAAAAAUUAGAGUGUUUAAAGCAGGCUCACGCUUGAAUACAUUAGCAUGGAAUAAUGAAAUAGGACGUUUGAUUCUAUUUUGUUGGUUUCUAGGAUCGACGUAAUGAUUAAUAGGGAUAGUUGGGGGCAUUAGUAUUCAAUUGUCAGAGGUGAAAUUCUUGGAUUUAUUGAAGACUAACUACUGCGAAAGCAUUUGCCAAGGAUGUUUUCAUUAAUCAAGAACGAAAGUAGGGGAUCGAAGACGAUCAGAUACCGUCGUAGUCUUAACCAUAAACUAUGCCGACUAGGGAUCGGAUGAUGUUAAUUUUUUAAUGACUCAUUCGGCGCCUUACGGGAAACCAAAGUGUUUGGGUUC